GCCAGCAGCUAUAUCACUCUGCAACUCACAACUGGCAACUCAGUGAAGCUCAGCAGGUGUGAGCCUGGUCAGUACCUGGAUGGGAGACCUCCUGGGAAAAACUCAGGUUCAUGCUGGAA
rfam:Lepisosteus oculatus linkage group LG4, whole genome shotgun sequence.